rnacentral:lncRNA from 1 species
CAGUUCCUGUGACUUCUGAAGUAUGGCCUGAAUAGAUUCAAUCAUUAUUAGUCCAUUAUCAUAUAGGAAAAUCUGAAGACACCAAGAAGUAUAAAGAGCAUGUCAUUUAGCACCCUGUCCUGAUAGUUACAGAAGACAUUGAGAAGUUACAGUGUAACAAUGACGACUACAGUUGACAGCUGGCUUUGCUCCUCUCCUGGAAUGCACUUUAUAACUAAUGACAGUGACCAAGUCUCACAAAAUUUCUCAGGAGUGUCAAAUGUCACUAGCUGUCCAAUGGAUGAAAAAUUACUGUCUACUGUGUUAACAACUUUCUACUCUGUGAUAUUCAUCGUGGGACUGGUUGGAAACAUCAUUGCCCUUUAUGUAUUUCUGGGCAUCCACCGCAAAAGAAAUUCCAUUCAAAUUUAUCUACUUAAUGUGGCUGUUGCAGACCUUCUACUCAUCUUCUGCCUCCCUUUCCGCAUAAUGUAUCACAUCAACCAAAAUAGGUGGACACUAGGUGUGAUUCUUUGCAAAGUUGUGGGGACACUAUUUUACAUGAACAUGUACAUUAGUAUUAUUCUGCUUGGGUUUAUCAGUUUGGAUCGAUAUAUAAAAAUCAACCGGUCUAUACAACAAAGAAGGGCAAUAACCACCAAGCAAAGUGUUUACGUUUGCUGUGUAGUCUGGACAGUUGCUCUAGCUGGAUUUUUAACAAUGAUCAUUUUGACACUGAAGAAGGGAGGGCACAAUUCCACAAUGUGUUUCCAUUACAGAGAUAAGCAUAAUGCAAAGGGAGAAGCGAUCUUUAACUUUGCUCUUGUAGUAAUGUUCUGGCUCAUUUUCCUACUGAUAAUCCUUUCAUAUAUUAAGAUUGGCAAGAAUCUACUGAGGAUUUCUAAAAGGAGGUCAAAAUUUCCUAACUCUGGCAAAUAUGCCACGACAGCCCGGAACUCCUUCAUUGUACUAAUCAUUUUUACUAUAUGCUUCGUGCCUUAUCAUGCCUUUCGAUUCAUUUACAUUUCUUCACAGCUAAAUGCGUCUUCUUGCUACUGGAAGGAAAUCAUUCAUAAAACCAAUGAGAUCAUGUUGGUUCUCUCCUCUUUCAACAGCUGCUUGGAUCCUGUCAUGUAUUUCCUAAUGUCCAGUAAUAUUCGCAAAAUCAUGUGUCAACUUCUUUUUAGAAGAUUUCAAAGUGACACAAGCAGAAGUGAAAGCACUUCAGAAUUUAAGCCAGGAUAUUCCUUGCAUGAUCUAUCUGUGACGGUCAAAAUGCAGUACAGCACUAAGGGUAACUGAGGCACAUGCAGUAAAAUGAACAACAUAAACCAGCCUCUUCAUUCCUUGAGGUUGGUAAAAUUAUGGAACAAAUUCCUAGCAUGUUCAAAAACCAGAUCUUUAGAAGUGGUCUUUCACUUGCUUAACUGCAAAAUAGUUCAAGGCAAAGAAAAGCUUACACUAAUCCCUAGAUUUUAGAACUAUAUGUAGAAUCUUCACAGAAUACAUUGUUAAGCUAACACUUUUAACAAUGGUUAUAAUGUUAAGUGAAGUUCAUGGAAUUAACAACGAAAUGGAUGAAAUGUCAUUGUUUCCUGAAGUCACUAAAGAAUUACUAAAGUUAGAAACUUGAUACUAAUUUUAAAUAUGUUUAAAAUUAAGUAAUUUGGGGACUGAGUUGAAAUGUCAGUAAACAUGAGUAUUACUUCAAAAUCUUACAUCACUUGAUGCUAUAUUCAUUUAUGUCUAAAUCUCUGCUAACAGAUGAAAUAAUAAAAUUCUAAUAAAAGUGAGAUUGCCCACU